rnacentral:rRNA from 1 species
CCUACGGGCGGCAGCAGUGAGGAAUAUUGGUCAAUGGGCGCGAGCCUGAACCAGCCAAGUCGCGUGAGGGAAGACGGCCCUACGGGUUGUAAACCUCUUUUGCCGGGGAGCAACGGGCGCCACGUGUGGCGCCACUGAGAGUACCCGGAUAAAAAGCAUCGGCUAACUCCGUGCCAGCAGCCGCGGUAAUACGUAGGAUGCGAGCGUUAUCCGGAUGUAUUGGGUUUAAAGGGUGCGUAGGCGGAGCGUUAAGUCAGUGGUCAAAUUGAGGGCCUAAACCCCUUCCCGCCAUUGAAACUGGCGCUCUUGAGUGGAAGAGAAGUAUGCGGAAUGCGUGGUGUAGCGGUGAAAUGCAUAGAUAGAACGCAGAACCCCGAUUGCGAAGGCAGCAUGCCGGCUUCCUACUGACGCUGAAGCACGAAAGCGUGGGGAUCGAACAGGAUUAGAUACCCUUGUAGUC